UACUUCCAAUUCCAACCAAUCUGAGGAAAGGCAGGAAGGCAAUCCUCCAAUGGGAGCUGAGGAGCCCGCGGUUGUGUGGAGCAUCGCUACCCUGCCAGGGCUAGGCGGAGCGUUGCGUGAAGCGUCCGUGUAUCUGCGAGAUCUUGCUGUGGGCCAGGUAUCCAUUCUCCUGUGGCAGCCGUAGAACCUACGGAGACUAGAGGUCCGUGGGUGGUGGAGGAUCCUUUGCGUAGCAAAAAAGGAAGGCGAGUGCUCCUGCAUCCUCUCCAGACGAUACCCAGGAGUCCUUCUAGAUCACAUCUUUUGAAACUCACUGUCAAGUACCACAAAUCUCUUCCCAUUGCUGCCCUAACUUUUCAAUAUUCUUACUAUACUUUUGUCAUCCUGACAACUAUAGAUCCAAUAUUCUAUUUUUAUAAUGUGUAGUUUUCCUCCUUCACUAUUUUUUAAUGAAGAGCAUAAAAAGUAGACUAUAUAUACAAUCCUUCCACAGCUUAUAAUGAUGCUUUCAUUGUAAUAUAAUGGCGAACAAUUUAUUUUUGUAUGCUUGUUUGUUUCUGUUUUUCAAAGCAGGCUUUCUCUGUGUACAGCAUUGGCUGUUCUGGAACUCACUUUGUAAAUCAGGCUGGCCUCAAACUCUGCCUCCCAAGUGCUGGGGCUGAAGAAACUUUUGUAAUAAAACAGUUAUGCACUUCAAUAUGUAAAUGCUUUGAUAUGACUUCACUAAAAGAAAUCAUUUUACACAUUAAUUCAAGAAUGUGACUUGUGCAUGUGACAGCUACAUGUGUAUUGAUUGAGUGGUGACUCAGAAACCAUAGGGAGGAUAUAGUUCCAUUUCCAUAAAUGAUGAAUUAAUUCCUCAUAAAGUUCUAAACAAAAGAAUGUGUAAAUGCCUCUCUGUCUGAGUGCUAGAUUUCUAGAGAAACAAAUAUAAAUGAAUAUCCUUAUUCACUAACUCCUCUAGCCUUACCUCAUACCACUCUGCUCCUUUAUUCCAUUUCACCUAUAAUAGCCUCCUUAAGGUUAUUUGAAUGCAUUAGGCACACUUAUGCCUGGAGGGGGGCUGUCUUAGGCUUUUCCCUCCCUUUACAUUACUUUUCCCCAAAUUGUCCACAGGUCUCAUUGCCUCACUUUCUUCAGGUUUCUGUUUGGUUGUCGUUUUCUUGUUGAGGUCUACCAUGAUGAUCCUGCUUAAAACAUCCAUCAGAGUCCGAACACUAACUCACCUUUACUGGUUUCCAUCGCAUUCCAUCAUCUUACAAAGUACAGUUUUGUGUUGCUUAACAAUAGGAAUAUAUCUCGAGGAAAUAUGUAAUUUUGUCAUUGUUCAAAAUAUAGAGUGCUUACUCAAACUAAGACCUGUGACAUCACCAGACAAUACAGUUGUAUGAGAUGAACAUCAUUUAAACAGGCCACUGUGGACCAAAACUUCAUUAUACAGUGUGUGGUUGUAUGCUGUUUACUUCUAUUGU
ensembl:lncRNA